UACGGAGGGGGCUAGCGUUGUUCGGAAUUACUGGGCGUAAAGCGCACGUAGGCGGCUUUGUAAGUUAGAGGUGAAAGCCCGGAGCUCAACUUCGGAAUUGCCUUUAAGACUGCAUCGCUUGAAUCAUGGAGAGGCGAGUGGAAUUCCGAGUGUAGAGGUGAAAUUCGUAGAUAUUCGGAAGAACACCAGUGGCGAAGGCGACUCGCUGGACAAGUAUUGACGCUGAGGUGCGAAAGCGUGGGGAGCAAACAGG
rnacentral:rRNA from 1 species